UCCUAUACAUGAUUGUUUCUUCAAUUAUUAAUUAACAAUACACCUCUCAGGGAUCAGGUCACAGAUGCUAGUAAAUUUUGCCAGCAAAUUUCAAAUUUUGAAAGAUCAUCACGAAUUCUUGGCUAGAACUAUUGUCAAAACAUGUCAAAAUGAAUCUUGACAGACAAUUUUGACAGAUCAUAUGUUCUAUGAGUCGUCCAUUAUUCAUUAUGAGAUACUACCGCAUUUGACAUUUUUGGUCCAGAUUUUGCAUUAUCCUCUGACAUAUAACAUAUGAAAAAUUAUCACAUGUGGUGUUUGACAGAAUCUGUUAAAUUUUAAAUGAGAUCUUGGAGAUAGGAGAGAGGAGGGUAGACUGGACCCCCCUACGCAGAAACUCAUUCCUCAACAAUUUUUACUAAAAUCACUAGUCCUUACCCUCGAAAGCUCCAUCUAAAUUUGUGCAACGCCUCGACAAAACGAAAAUUUUGAGGAGAAGGUGGGUAAAAUGGACUUCCCUCUCUCUCACGAUUUUUCCUCCAAUGGUCCCAAAUUGACUCGUCGAGACUAUUAAAAACAAUUAAUUUCAGCUUCCUGCAAAUAGUGUAUAACGUUAAUUAAAAAUCAAAUCCUUAUCAUUGUUCAAGUAUUUGUCAAUAGAAUUUAGUAUACAGAAUUAAAACUCCGUGUUAAUUAAAUAUAAAAUGUAAACACUCAUCAAAACAUCAAUUACUCCACGGUGCAUCUUUAUAGAAAAUGU